rnacentral:rRNA from 1 species
AGACUGGUGAGUAACACGUGAGUAAUUUACCUCUAAGUCGGGCAUAGCUCUGUGAAAGCGGAGGUAAUACCCGAUGUGUCUGGGAUGGCGCAAGCCAACCCAGGUAAAGGUGGCCGUAAGGCUGCUGUUUAGAGAUGAGCUCGCGUCCUAUCAGCUAGUUGGUAGGGUAACGGCCUACCAAGGCAAUUGACGGGUAGCUGGCCUGAGAGGGUGGUCAGCCACAUGGGGACUGAGACACUGCCCCAACUCC